rnacentral:tRNA from 1 species
GCGGUCGUGGCGGAACUGGUAGACGCGCAGCGUUGAGGUCGCUGUGAUUAAUAUCGUGGAAGUUCGACUCUUCUCGACCGCACCA